rnacentral:rRNA from 1 species
AAACUUGAUGCUUAUUACCGGAUAAGCCCUUACGGGGAAAGAUUUAUCGCCGAAAGAUCGGCCCGCGUCUGAUUAGCUAGUUGGUGGGGUAAUGGCCCACCAAGGCGACGAUCAGUAGCUGGUCUGAGAGGAUGAUCAGCCACAUUGGGACUGAGACACGGCCCAAACUCCUACGGGAGGCAGCAGUGGGGAAUAUUGGACAAUGGGGGCAACCCUGAUCCAGCCAUGCCGCGUGAGUGAUGAAGGCCCUAGGGUUGUAAAGCUCUUUUGUGCGGGAAGAUAAUGACGGUACCGCAAGAAUAAGCCCCGGCUAACUUCGCGCCAGCAGCCGCGGUAAUACGAAGGGGGCUAGCGUUGCUCGGAAUCACUGGGCGUAAAGGGUGCGUAGGCGGGUCUUUAAGUCAGGGGUGAAAUCCUGGAGCUCAACUCCAGAACUGCCUUUGAUACUGAAGAUCUUGAGUUCGGGAGAGGUGAGUGGAACUGCGAGUGUAGAGGUGAAAUUCGUAGAUAUUCGCAAGAACACCAGUGGCGAAGGCGGCUCACUGGCCCGAUACUGACGCUGAGGCACGAAAGCGUGGGGAGC